GAUGAAUGCUGGCGGCGUGCCUAACACAUGCAAGUCGAGCGGCAGCGAGGGGUGCUUGCACCCUGUCGGCGAGCGGCGAACGGCUGAGUAACGCGUAGGAAUUUGCCCCAAAGUGAGGAAUAACUGCCCGAAAGGGUAGCUAAUGCCGCAUAUGGUCUUCGGAUUAAAGGAUUUAUCCGCUUGGGAGAAGCCUGCGUUGGAUUAGGUUGUUGGUAGGGUAAUGGCCUACCAAGCCGACGAUCCAUAGCUGGUCUGAGAGGAUGAUCAGCCAGACUGGAACUGAGACACGGUCCAGACUCCUACGGGAGGCAGCAGUGAGGAAUCUUCCACAAUGGGCGAAAGCCUGAUGGAGCAACGCCGCGUGAAGGAUGAAGGCCUUCGGGUUGUAAACUUCUUUUAUGAGUGAAGAAUAUGACGGUAACUCAUGAAUAAGCACCGGCUAACUACGUG
rnacentral:rRNA from 1 species